UACGGGGGGAGCAAGCGUUGUUCGGAUUUACUGGGCGUAAAGGGCGCGUAGGCGGCCAGCGCAAGUCAGUUGUGAAAUCUCCGGGCUUAACUCGGAACGGUCAACUGAUACUGCGCGGCUAGAGUGCGGAAGGGGCAACUGGAAUUCUCGGUGUAGCGGUGAAAUGCGUAGAUAUCGAGAGGAACACCUGCGGCGAAGGCGGGUUGCUGGGCUGACACUGACGCUGAUGCGCGAAAGCUAGGGGAGCGAACGGG
rnacentral:rRNA from 1 species